rnacentral:rRNA from 1 species
AGGAACUCGGCAAAAUGCCCCCGUAACUUCGGGAGAAGGGGGACCCCUGUACCGUGUAAGCCCUUGCGGCCCAAGCGGGGUGGGGUGGCACAAACCAGUGAGAAGCGACUGUUUACUAAAAACACAGUCCGUGCGAAGUCGCAAGACGAUGUAUACGGACUGACGCCUGCCCGGUGCUGGAAGGUUAAGAGGACCUGUUAACCC